rnacentral:rRNA from 1 species
UGGGGAAUUUUGCGCAAUGGGCGAAAGCCUGACGCAGCAACGCCGCGUGAGUGAUGAAGGCCUUUGGGUCGUAAAGCUCUGUCAGAGGGAAAGAAGUGUGGGCGGCUAAUAUCCGUACCACUUGACGGUACCCUCAAAGGAAGCACCGGCUAACUCCGUGCCAGCAGCCGCGGUAAUACGGAGGGUGCAAGCGUUGUUCGGAAUUAUUGGGCGUAAAGCGCGUGUAGGCGGUUUCUUAAGUCUGAUGUGAAAGCCCCGGGCUCAACCUGGGAAGUGCAUUGGAUACUGGGAGACUUGAGUACGGGAGAGGGUAGUGGAAUUCCCAGUGUAGGAGUGAAAUCCGUAGAUAUUGGGAGGAACACCGGUGGCGAAGGCGGCUGCCUGGACCGAUACUGACGCU